rnacentral:sRNA from 1 species
GCUGGGUGUGGAAGCACACGCCUGUAGUCCCAGUGACUCAGGAGGCUGAGACAGGAAGAUCACAAGUUCAAAGUCAGCCUCAGCAAAAAAGCGAGGCACUAAGCAACUCAGUGAGACCCUGUCUCUG